UUUUGAACAAAGGAGCCUAUUUUAUUGUGUGGCUUUAGUUUUCCCUAAUGGAUCGACACUGGGAAAUAACUGUCUCCCACACUGCCAUCCUCAGUAUCUUUAAGCCCCAGACAGGAAUUUCUAGAACAGAGAAAAGGAGGAAUUCUAAUUGUGUCCUUCAGCACAAACAAAAAGCAAAACUGGAUUUAGAAGCUGGAAAUUUGAAGGCUACCCUGAAGAGGUAUAUUUUUAGUUUAUAAAAAUCCUUGUGCCCACCUAGCUUGAAAAUAAAUACCUGCAACAAGCUCAUUGAGUUUUAUAGGGCUAUGUAAGUAUUCAGCAUGUCUACAAAUCAAGCUUUAGAGACUCAACAGAAGUACUCAAAAAUAAAAAAGAAAGGAAAAGAAAGGAAAAGAAAAGAAAGGAAAAGAAAAGAAAGGAAAAGAAAAGAAAAGAAA